UCAAGAGAAGGAAGUGAGAUUGCAAUGGUUACGAGCUCUCUUUCGCUGGUGCGGGUGCACGGGGCAUCUUCCGUGCAAUACAGCAAGAGAAUUUCUGGUGCGUGUGGGAUGGAAGCGAAGGUUUGCUAACGGCUGCUAUUUCGUUAGUAUACACAGAGAAGAUAGUUUCAGGAGAUGGCCAAGGUCCCUUCCCUCGUCGUCCCGUAUUGGCCGGAGUCCUAGUUUUUGACACAUGAAAGACAAAAAUAUAACAAAAAAAAUCCCGCGCCAUGUAGGCCCGCCUUCUCCACCAUCUCUCUCUGCGCCGAACCCGUUUGCAGAAUCUUUCCCGGUUUAAAGGGGGGUGACGAUUUCUCCUUCCCUCCUGCAACUAACCACCACCAGACCAGAGCAACUGCAUCAAUAAUUACCAUCCUCUAAAGACAGCACCGCUGCCCAAUCGAACCUCGAUUCCUGCUCCACCUCUCCGCUCUGCUACCCAAUGGCAGGCUGAAAGCAGAGAGCCGGAAGAGAGAAGCGACAGGGGGAAAUGAGUGGCAUGCGCAAAUCUGGGCCGUAGGCGAGGAGAAAAUGGAGGUGAACAAAUAAACUACAUUUCCCUACAA